GGGUGCGAUCAUACCAAUGUUAAUGCACCGGAUCCCAUCGGAACUUUGCACUUGGGCUAGAGUAGUACUGGGAUGAGUGACCUACCAGGAAGUAUUAGUGUUGCACCCU
rnacentral:rRNA from 1 species